rnacentral:rRNA from 1 species
UACAGAGGGUGCGAGCGUUGUUCGGAAUUAUUGGGCUUAAAGGGCGCGUAGGCGGCGCCACAAGUCACCUGUGAAAACUCUGGGCUCAACCCAGAGCCUGCAGGCGAAACUGUGGUGCUGGAGUAUGGGAGAGGUGCGUGGAAUUCCCGGUGUAGCGGUGAAAUGCGUAGAUAUCAAGUGGAACACCAGUGGCGAAGGCGAGUCUCUGGACAUUUCCUGACGCUGAGGCACGAAAGCUGGGGGAGCAAACGGG